GACCGAGUAUCGUCCAUGCCUGGUUGUACACAUAACUGCAUCAGGUCUCCAAGGUGAACAACCUCUAGUCAAUAGAAAAAUGUAGGUAAGGGAAGUCGGCAAAAUGGAUCCAUAACUUCGGGAAAAGGAUUGGCUCUAAGGGCUGGGCCUAGGGGUCUGCGUCCUCAACCCAUGGGCUAUCUGCAGUCUUCCCAAGCUGCUAUUGCGGCGAGGGUAGGUAGUCACAUGCCUAUUAGGCUACAGACAUAGAAUGUCCUCUCAUGGGGGAUAUUCCCUAGGCGGUGAACAGUCGACUCAGAACUGGUACGGACAAGGGGAAUCUGACUGUUUAAUUAAAAAAAAGCAUUGCGAUGGUCCCUGUGGAUGCUAAUGCAAUGUGAUUUCUGCCCAGUGCUUUGAAUGUCAAAGUGAAGAAAUUCAACCAAGCGCGGGUAAACGGUGGGAGUAACUAUGACUCUCUUAAGGUAGCCAAAUGCCUCGUCAUCUAAUUAGUGACAUGCAUGAAUGGAUUAAUGAGAUUCCCACUAUCCCUAUCUACUAUCUAGCAAAACCACAGCCAAGGGAACGGGCUUGGCAGAAUCAGUAGGGAAAGAAGACCCUGUUGAGCUUGACUCUAGUCCAACUUUGUGAAAUGACUUGAGAGGUGUAGAAUAAGUGGGAGUCAUUUUCGGUGCAAGUGAAAUACCACUACUUUUAACAUUAUUUUACUUAUUCCAUGGGGUGGAGACGGGGCACUGCCCCUGUUUUUGGCCUUAAGACACGUUUCGACGGGUUGAUUUGGGUGGAAGACAUUUUCAGGUGGGGAGUUUGGUUGGGGUGGCACAUCUAUUAAAAGAUAAUGCAGGUGUCCUAAGAUGAGCUCAAUGAGAAUAGAAAUCUCGUGUGGAACAAAAGGGUAAAAGCUCAUUUGAUUUUGAUUUUCAGUAUGAAUACAAACCGUGAAAGCAUGGCCUAUCGAUCCUUUAGACUUUUGAAAUUUGAAGCUAGAGGUGUCAGAAAAUUUACCACAGGGAUAAAUGGCUUUUGGAAGCCAAGCAUUCAUAGCGACGUUGAUUUUUGAUCCUUUGAUGUCGGCUCUUCCUCUCACUGUGAAGCAAAAUUCACCAAGUGUUGGAUUGUUCACCUGACAAUAGGGAACGUGAGUUGGGUUUAGAAUGUUGUGAGAUAGGUUAGUUUUACCCUACUGAUGAACUGUGCCACAAUAUUAAUUCAACUUAGUACGAGAGGAACCAUUGAUUCACACAAAUUUUCAUCGUGCUUGGUUGAAAAUCCAGUGGCACGAAGCUACCGUGUGUCGAAUUAUGAUUGAAGGCCUCUAAGUCAGAAUCCAUGCUAGAAGCAGUGCUUUUCACUCCUCGACUGUAUCUUAACCUGUAGUAGGGGUGUCUCUUCGGCACCCCCAGGGGCCCGUGUCACUUGCGAACCUCAGGCGGGAAGUGUCUUGGUCGAUGCAACUUUGAAGUUCAAUUUCAAACGAUCGUUGAGAAGAAUCCUUUGCAGACGACUUAAAUACAUGACGGGGUAUUGUAAGUGGCAGAGUGGCCUUGCUGCCACGAUCCACUGAUAUUCAUCCCUUCUUCGCUUCGAUUCAG
rfam:Picea glauca, whole genome shotgun sequence.